rnacentral:rRNA from 1 species
UACGUAGGGGGCAAGCGUUGUCCGGAAUCAUUGGGCGUAAAGCGCGUGUAGGCGGCCAUACAGGUCAGCUGUGAAAACUCGAGGCUCAACCUCGAGACGUCGGUUGAAACCGUAUGGCUAGAGUCCGGAAGAGGAGAGUGGAAUUCCCGGUGUAGCGGUGAAAUGCGCAGAUAUCGGGAAGAACACCCGUGGCGAAGGCGGCUCUCUGGGACGGUACUGACGCUGAGACGCGAAAGCGUGGGGAGCGAACAGG